AGGAUCAUGACCUGAACUGAGGGCAGACACUCAACCGACUAAACCACCCAGUGGGACAUUCCCAGGCAGUAAACCAUCCCACUCAGCGGAUUCCUCUCUAACUUCUACAGCAGCCGUCCCAUCUUUGUGAUGAAAAUCCCCUCAGGAAGGGGCUGCAGAUGUCAUCCCCACAGAAGUACCACCUCAUGAGACAGGAUUACCUCCAUCUCAAAGAGUGGCAGAUGAUUCGCACGUGAGGUGCACAUGAGAGAGAAUGAGGAGGGGGCAGAGAGAAAGAAGCAGGCUCCCCAGUGAACAAGGAGCCUGAUGUGGAACUGGAUCCAAGGACCCUGAGAUCAUGAGCUGAGCGGAAGGCAGAUGCUUAACCAACUGAGCCACCCAGGUGCCCUAGCCUAUGAUUUAUGAUAAGAAAUAU